UACGGAGGGGGCUAGCGUUGUUCGGAAUUACUGGGCGUAAAGGGCGCGUAGGCGGUGCGAUAAGUCAGGCGUGAAAGGCCCGGGCUCAACCCGGGGACUGCGCUUGAUACUGUUGCGCUGUGAGUCCGGGGAGAGGAUGGCGGAAUUCCCCAGUUGUAGAGGUGAAAUUCGUAGAUAUUGGGAAGAACACCGGUGGCGAAGGCGGCCAUCUGGACCGGCACUGAACGCGUGAGGCGGCGAAAAGCGUGGGGGAGCAAACAGGAUUAGAAA
rnacentral:rRNA from 1 species